rnacentral:rRNA from 1 species
UACGUAGGGCGCAAGCGUUGUCCGGAAUUAUUGGGCGUAAAGAGCUCGUAGGCGUUCUGUCGCGUCCGUUGUGAAAACUCGAGGCUCAACCUCGGGCUUGCAGUGGAUACGGGCAGACUAGAGUGCGGUAGGGGAGACUGGAAUUCCUGGUGUAGCGGUGGAAUGCGCAGAUAUCAGGAGGAACACCGAUGGCGAAGGCAGGUCUCUGGGCCGCAACUGACGCUGAGGAGCGAAAGUGUGGGGAGCGAACAGG